AUGGAGGAUCUCCCAGAGCCACUGCUUGCAGAGAUCGUCAAGAGGAUUACCAAGACAAGUGAUCUUAAUUCUCUUUCCCUCGUGUCGAAGCAGCUCUGCACCGUUGAGGCGGAGCACAGGGAUGCUAUCCGUGUUGGCUGUGGACUCAACCCUUCUACAGAAGCCUUGGUAUCGUUGUUCUCCCGGUUCCCCAAUUUGGCGAAAGUAGAGAUAAACUAUUCCGGAUGGUGGCCCAGUAACGGGAACCAGUUGAACAACCAAGGCCUCUGUGUUCUAUCAUCUCACUGCCCCUCACUGUCCGAUCUUUCUUUAAGCUUCUGCUCUUACAUUGGUGACUCUGGUCUUGGUUAUCUAGCUGAUUGCAAAAAAUUGAGUUCGCUCAGGCUGAACUGUGCACCAGCAGUAACUUCUACUGGGAUUUUUCGUGUGGCGGUUGGUUGCAGGCAUCUUUCGGUUCUUCACCUUGUUGACUGUAUGGCAGUAGACAGCAGGGAGUGGCUGGAGUACCUUGGGAGAUAUGGAUCAUUGGUAGAACUUGUUGUAAAGGAUUGCGAUGGAAUCAGCCAGUAUGACCUCUUAAAGUUUGGCCCAGGCUGGGAGAAUCUCCAAAAAUUUGUGUUUGAGAUUAAUGGAAACUACUGGAUGUCAGGGGCGUCUGACCCCUCCUACGUGUCUGGCUACCCAUAUAGGUAUGACAUCUGCUGUGAUAGCUUGAAGGAUCUUAGGUUAGCUCAUAUUAUAACCAAGCCAGAAACUGGACUUCGUUUUCUCCUGGGGAAGUGCAAAGCAUUGGAGACGCUUUACCUAGAGUAUGUGAUUGGUCUAAAAGAGAAUGAGAUGAUUGCGCUAUUCCAGAGGUGCAGCAACCUUAAAACCAUCUCACUUCGGUUCAUGCCUCUGCGGUGUGAAGAUUAUGAGUUUAGGACGCCAUUGACUGAUGUUAGCCUUAAGGCUCUAGCUCUCAGCUGCCCUAUGCUUCAGGUUGUAGAGCUCACAUUCACAUUUUGCGAACCCAUGUAUCCAACAGAAAUAGGUUUCACACAAGAGGGUAUUGUGUCGCUCGUCCAAUCUUGUCCAGUCCGCACUCUUUUGCUAAAUGGUGCCAGCAUUUUGUAUGACGAGGGGUUGAAGUGCCUCUCAUCCUCACAGUUCCUGGAGAAGCUUGAGCUCGUGGAUUGCAGGUCUAUAACCGAUGCUGGUAUGAGUUUCAUUAUACUGGCUCCUUGCUUCAGCAAUCUCACCCUCCGCAAAUGCAAGAAAGUGACAGACAAUGGGAUGGCUGAGCUGGCACGUUCACAGAAGUUGGAGUCACUGACCGUUAUAGGCUGCUGCCAGAUCUCUCAGGAGGGUGUGCAAGGGGCUGCCAAAUCAGUUCACUACUCUGCAGAGACUGAAAGCCACGGCAGUCUAAAAGGAAUGAACACGGACAGGGACAUGAACAGGAAAAGACGCCGGUCGCCCUGA
rnacentral:rRNA from 1 species